rnacentral:lncRNA from 1 species
GUUUCUGAAUGUACAUGCACAUACAGUGGGAGUGCUCCGUGUGCAUCAUUCUGAACCUGCACAGUGUGCACACUUCAUUCCUGCCAGCAGAUGGUACUGCGAGAAGCUGGCAGCCAACGAUGGCAGUGUGGUGACUUGGCCAGUAUCUGAACCGAGAUGGACCUCCUGGGAGGCACAGCAAAGGCUGUCAAACUUACAGGGAAAAGAAAACAGCAUGUUAUGGAAAGAAGAAAAAGUGAUAUUAUGAAGUCUAGUAAACUGAAAAACA